GGUUCUGUGGUGUAGUUGGUUAUCACGUCAGUCUAACACACUGAAGGUCUCCAGUUCGAACCUGGACAGAAUCA